rnacentral:rRNA from 1 species
ACGCUGGCGGCGUGCCUAACACAUGCAAGUCGAGCGAGAAAUAAAGGAAUGAAGCUUCGGUAGAUUUUCUUUAUGGAAAGCGGCGGACGGGUGAGUAACGCGUAGGCAACCUGCCCUGUACAGGGGGAUAGCCACCCGAAAAGGUGAUUAAUACCCCAUAACGCAAGAGAUACACAUGUAUCACUUGUCAAAGAUUUAUCGGUAUAGGAUGGGCCUGCGUCUGAUUAGCUAGUUGGUAGGGUAACGGCUUACCAAGGCAACGAUCAGUAGCCGACCUGAGAGGGUGAUCGGCCACAUUGGAACUGAGACACGGUCCAAACUCCUACGGGAGGCAGCAGUGGGGAAUAUUGCACAAUGGGCGCAAGCCUGAUGCAGCAACGCCGCGUGAAGGAUGAAGGCCUUCGGGUUGUAAACUUCUGUCCUAGGGGAAGAAACAAAUGACAUUACCCUUGGAGGAAGCCCCGGCUAACUACGUGCCAGCAGCCGCGGUAAUACGUAGGGGGCGAGCGUUAUCCGGAAUUAUUGGGCGUAAAGAGUGCGUAGGUGGCACCUUAAGCGCAGGGUUUAAGGCAAUGGCUCAACCAUUGUUCGCCAUGCGAACUGGGGUGCUUGAGUGCAGGAGGGGAAAGUGGAAUUCCUAGUGUAGCGGUGAAAUGCGUAGAUAUUAGGAGGAACACCAGUGGCGAAGGCGACUUUCUGGACUGUUACUGACACUGAGGCACGAAAGCGUGGGGAGCAAACAGGAUUAGAUACCCUGGUAGUCCACGCCGUAAACGAUGAGCACUAGGUGUCGGGGUCGCAAGACUUCGGUGCCGCAGUUAACGCAUUAAGUGCUCCGCCUGGGGAGUACGCACGCAAGUGUAAAACUCAAAGGAAUUGACGGGGACCCGCACAAGCAGCGGAGCAUGUG